UCGAGGAUAUUUAGCAAUGGGCGAAAGCCUGACUAUGUGACGCCGCGUGAGGGAUGAAGGUCUUCGGAUUGCAAACCUCUUUCGAUAGGGAAGAAAAUUCCGGUUAACUGCUGGAACUGACGGUACCUAGAGAAGAAGCCAUGGCUAACUCUGUGCCAGCAGCCGCGGUAAUACAGAGAUGGCGAGCGUUACUCGGAUUUAUUGGGUGUAAAGGGCAGGUAGGCGGCUAUGCAAGUUGGGGGUGAAAUCCUGUGGCUCAACCACAGAACUGCCUUCAAAACUGCAUGGCUUGAGGCUAGAAGAGGAGAGCGGAAUUCCCGGUGUAAGAGUGAAAUCUGUAGAUAUCGGGAGGAACACCAGUGGCGAAAGCGGCUCUCUAGUCUAGCCCUGACGCUAAGCUGCGAAAGCUAGGGGAGCAAACA
rnacentral:rRNA from 1 species